rnacentral:misc_RNA from 1 species
UUUCCGUAGGUGAACCUGCGGAAGGAUCAUUCAUAAUAAGUGUUUUAUGGCUCUUUUUAAAUCCCUAGCCACCUGGUGUGCAAUGUCAGUCGUUCUCUACUAUGGGAACGACCAAACAUCAACUAACUCUUUAACCCUUAAUCUGAAAAAUAUCACGAAUAAAAUAAUUCAAAAUACAACUUUCAACAACGGAUCUCUUGGCUCUC